rnacentral:rRNA from 1 species
UACAGAGGGUGCAAGCGUUAAUCGGAAUUACUGGGCGUAAAGCGUGCGCAGACGGUUGCGUAAGUCAGAUGUGAAAGCCCCGGGCUCAACCUGGGAAUGGCAUUUGAUACUCUGAGGCUGGAGUACGGGAGAGGAGAGUGGAAUUCCCAGUGUAGAGGUGAAAUUCGUAGAUAUUGGGAAGAACACCGGUGGCGAAGGCGGCUCUCUGGACCGUAACUGACGCUGAGGCGCGAAAGCGUGGGGAGCAAACAGG